GGAUAACCUCGGGAAACUGAGAUUAACCCGCGAUAGGUCAAGAUUUCUGGAAUGGAUCGUGUCUUAAAUCUACAUGGCCCCUGGAUUGGACUGCGGCCGAUCAGGCUGUUGGUGAGGUAAUGGCCCACCAAACCUAUAACCGGUACGGGCUCUGAGAGGAGAAGCCCGGAGAUGGGCACUGAGACAAGGGCCCAGGCCCUAUGGGGCGCAGCAGGCGCGAAACCUCUGCAAUGGGCGAAAGCCUGACAGGGUUACUCUGAGUGAUUUCCGCUAAGGAGAUCUUUUGGCAGCUCUAAAAAUGGUGCAUAAUAAGGGGUGGGCAAGUCUGGUGUCAGCCGCCGCGGUAAUACCAGCACCCCGAGUGGUCGGGACGAUUAUUGGGCCUAAAGCAUCCGUAGCCGGUCGUGCAAGUCCUCCGUUAAAUCCAGCCGCUCAACGGAUGGGCUGCGGAGGAUACUACAGGACUAGGAGGCGGGAGAGGCAAGCGGUACUUACUGGGUAGGGGUAAAAUCCUUUGAUCCAUUGAAGA
rnacentral:rRNA from 1 species